GUUUUUAUCUUUUUUUU
rnacentral:sRNA from 1 species